rnacentral:rRNA from 1 species
UAGGGAAUCUUCCGCAAUGGACGCAAGCCUGACGGAGCAACGCCGCGUGAGUGAAGAAGGAUUUCGGUUCGUAAAACUCUGUUGUUAGAGAAGAACAGCGCAUAGAGUAAUUGUUAUGCGUGUGACGGUAUCUAACCAGAAAGCCACGGCUAACUACGUGCCAGCAGCCGCGGUAAUACGUAGGUGGCAAGCGUUGUCCGGAUUUAUUGGGCGUAAAGCGAGCGCAGGCGGUCAAUUAAGUCUGAUGUGAAAGCCCCGGCUCAACCGGGGAGGGUGAAUGGAAACUGGUUAAAUUGAGUGCAGAAGAGGAGGGUGGAAUUCCAUGUGUAGCGGUGAAAUGCGUAGAUGUAUGGAGGAACGCCAGUGGCGAAGGCGACUCUCUGGUCUGUAACUGACGCUGAGGCUCGAAAGCGUGGGUAGCAAACAGG